rfam:Trypanosoma theileri isolate Edinburgh TM35_Tth_2_V1, whole genome shotgun sequence.
AGCACUCAUUUCAAGCCGCACGAGCAUGAACGUGUUGUUCUGCGGUCGGGUGACGUGCGAGAG